CGACGACGGGUAGGGGGCGUGAGAGCGUGGCCCCCCACACGGGAACUGAGACACGGUCCCGACGCCUACGGGCGGCAGCAGUGAGGAAUCUUGCCCAAUGGGGGAAACCCUGAGGCAGCGACACCGCGUGCGGGAUGAAGGCCUUCGGGUCGUAAACCGCUUUUCUGGGGGACGAGUAAGGACGGUACUCCAGGAAUAAGUCCCGGCUAACUACGUGCCAGCAGCCGCGGUAAAACGUAGGGGGCGAGCGUUAUCCGGAAUCACUGGGCGUAAAGGGCGUCUAGGCGGCAGCCUAAGUCCCGUGUGAAAGCUCCCGGCUCAACUGGGAGAGGGCAUGGGAGACUGGGCAGCUAGAGACUCGGAGGGGGGUGUGGAAUUCCCGGUGGAGUGGUGGAAUGCGUUGAGAUCGGGAGGAACACCAGUAGCGAAGGCGGCACCCUGGCCGAGAUCUGACGCUGAAGCGCGAGAGCGUGGGGAGCGAACGGGAUUAGAUACCCCGGUAGUCCACGCCGUAAACGAUGACAACUAGGUGUUGGGUGUCCAAGGAUGCUCAGUACCGCAGCAAACGCGAUAA
rnacentral:rRNA from 1 species